rnacentral:rRNA from 1 species
UGGGGAAUUUUGCGCAAUGGGCGAAAGCCUGACGCAGCAAUACCGCGUGAAGGAUGAAGGCCCUUGGGUCGUAAACUUCUGUCAGAGGGGAAGAAAUACUCGCAAGAGUGCUGACGGUACCCUCAAAGGAAGCACCGGCUAACUCCGUGCCAGCAGCCGCGGUAAUACGGAGGGUGCAAGCGUUGUUCGGAAUUAUUGGGCGUAAAGAGCAUGUAGGCGGACUAUUAAGUCUGGUGUGAAAGCCCGGGGCUCAACCCCGGAAGUGCAUUGGAUACUGGUAGUCUUGAGUAUGGGAGAGGAAAGUGGAAUUCCGAGUGUAGGAGUGAAAUCCGUAGAUAUUCGGAGGAACA